rnacentral:rRNA from 2 species
ACGAACUCUGGUAUUGAUUGGUGCUUGCAUCAUGAUUUACAUUUGAGUGAGUGGCGAACUGGUGAGUAACACGUGGGAAACCUGCCCAGAAGCGGGGGAUAACACCUGGAAACAGAUGCUAAUACCGCAUAACAACUUGGACCGCAUGGUCCGAGUUUGAAAGAUGGCUUCGGCUAUCACUUUUGGAUGGUCCCGCGGCGUAUUAGCUAGAUGGUGGGGUAACGGCUCACCAUGGCAAUGAUACGUAGCCGACCUGAGAGGGUAAUCGGCCACAUUGGGACUGAGACACGGCCCAAACUCCUACGGGAGGCAGCAGUAGGGAAUCUUCCACAAUGGACGAAAGUCUGAUGGAGCAACGCCGCGUGAGUGAAGAAGGGUUUCGGCUCGUAAAACUCUGUUGUUAAAGAAGAACAUAUCUGAGAGUAACUGUUCAGGUAUUGACGGUAUUUAACCAGAAAGCCACGGCUAACUACGUGCCAGCAGCCGCGGUAAUACGUAGGUGGCAAGCGUUGUCCGGAUUUAUUGGGCGUAAAGCGAGCGCAGGCGGUUUUUUAAGUCUGAUGUGAAAGCCUUCGGCUCAACCGAAGAAGUGCAUCGGAAACUGGGAAACUUGAGUGCAGAAGAGGACAGUGGAACUCCAUGUGUAGCGGUGAAAUGCGUAGAUAUAUGGAAGAACACCAGUGGCGAAGGCGGCUGUCUGGUCUGUAACUGACGCUGAGGCUCGAAAGUAUGGGUAGCAAACAGGAUUAGAUACCCUGGUAGUCCAUACCGUAAACGAUGAAUGCUAAGUGUUGGAGGGUUUCCGCCCUUCAGUGCUGCAGCUAACGCAUUAAGCAUUCCGCCUGGGGAGUACGGCCGCAAGGCUGAAACUCAAAGGAAUUGACGGGGGCCCGCACAAGCGGUGGAGCAUGUGGUUUAAUUCGAAGCUACGCGAAGAACCUUACCAGGUCUUGACAUACUAUGCAAAUCUAAGAGAUUAGACGUUCCCUUCGGGGACAUGGAUACAGGUGGUGCAUGGUUGUCGUCAGCUCGUGUCGUGAGAUGUUGGGUUAAGUCCCGCAACGAGCGCAACCCUUAUUAUCAGUUGCCAGCAUUAAGUUGGGCACUCUGGUGAGACUGCCGGUGACAAACCGGAGGAAGGUGGGGAUGACGUCAAAUCAUCAUGCCCCUUAUGACCUGGGCUACACACGUGCUACAAUGGAUGGUACAACGAGUUGCGAACUCGCGAGAGUAAGCUAAUCUCUUAAAGCCAUUCUCAGUUCGGAUUGUAGGCUGCAACUCGCCUACAUGAAGUCGGAAUCGCUAGUAAUCGCGGAUCAGCAUGCCGCGGUGAAUACGUUCCCGGGCCUUGUACACACCGCCCGUCACACCAUGAGAGUUUGUAACACCCAAAGUCGGUGGGGUA